GGCAGAGAAAGUGAUUGCUGUCUUUAUGUCUUACGGAGCUUUGAGAUAGCCACUCUGUAAUGCUGACUGUGGGCCACUUUGGAUACUAAGGUUCCUGGAGUCCCUAAUGCUUGAACCUAUAUUCAUUCCAGUUACAACUGCUGGAGCAUUCAGUGGGACUGUGCUGAGGGGUAACUAUAAGGAAAAUGCAUAUCCUGCCUUAUCCCAAUUCUUCAUUCAUCGCUAUGGAAUUGAUGAUGAAAUAUUAUUUUAAAAGGAAGAAGAAGGUCUUGUGCAUUGCUACUCUCUUGGCUGGAUUUCAAAGCAACUAAUUAAAUUCUGUCUGCCUUAGCUCUUCCUAUGGUUUUCCAUUAAGUGAGUUGGGCAUUGUCCUAUUUUAUCUGCAUCAACGUGGCAAAAUGCUGCAGGGCAGCAACUCCAAGGGGAGACUGUUUUCUGUUGUGGGAAGAGUGGUCCACAGACAGCCCUGCUAACACAAGUGGGUGGGCAUGAGCUCUUCCAGGUUCUCAAUUCCAGACACAGCUACUAGUCUUCUUACACAGGCAGAUAGUGAUAGCACAAAGGGGAAUGGCUUUAAACUAAAAGAGGGUAGCUUUAGGUUAGAUGUUAGGAGUAAAUUCUUUACUUGGAGAGUGGCGAGGUGCUGGCACAGCUG